rnacentral:rRNA from 1 species
UCCGCCCGCUGGCGGCGUGCUUAACACAUGCAAGUCGAACGGAAAGGCCCUUCGGGGUACUCGAGUGGCGAACGGGUGAGUAACACGUGGGUGAUCUGCCCUGCACUUUGGGAUAAGCCUGGGAAACUGGGUCUAAUACCGAAUAGGACCACGCGCUUCAUGGUGUGUGGUGGAAAGCUUUUGCGGUGUGGGAUGGGCCCGCGGCCUAUCAGCUUGUUGGUGGGGUAAUGGCCUACCAAGGCGACGACGGGUAGCCGGCCUGAGAGGGUGACCGGCCACACUGGGACUGAGAUACGGCCCAGACUCCUACGGGAGGCAGCAGUGGGGAAUAUUGCACAAUGGGCGCAAGCCUGAUGCAGCGACGCCGCGUGAGGGAUGACGGCCUUCGGGUUGUAAACCUCUUUCAAUAGGGACGAAGCGCAAGUGACGGUACCUAUAGAAGAAGCACCGGCCAACUACGCG